rnacentral:lncRNA from 9 species
CACUGGAAUAUGAUGCUUAGGAAUUGAAGCAAAUAAGUGCUGAAAACAAAUGUGAUCCCCAAUCUCUCAUAUUUAAAAAAUCCGUGUUCUUAAAUUGAAUGUUGAUUUCCUGUAGUGAGGAAAACUUAUUUUUUCUUUUACUAUCUAAAAUAUAGGUAGAUCUUUGCAUACUGGUUCUGGCACUGUCUCACACAGGAGUUUCCAAUAACUGCCAGUCAUAUGGUGACAAUUAUGCUUGAUUAAGCAAAUCCAGUAAGUACUUGAUCGACUUUUUCCCAUAAAUGCUGACAUUCUGCCGCCAAAGGGAAAAAGAACACUUGCCAUUUUUCUAAGCACUCUGGCUAUCUCCCCUUGUCCCUACCAACAAUACGAGGCUCUGAGUUUCCUACAAACAAUGUUCCCAGAUUCUCAGACUCAGCCAGAUUCUAGGGUUUCUAUCAAACAUCUCCUUGAGUAAUUCGAAUUUUUGAGGUCUGAAAAUCCUACAAGCAGACAGAUGAUAAUUUGUGAGAUUUGCAGAGAUGCAUGGCAAAGGGUCAUUGUUACUAGUGGUCAUUCUAUCCCUGAUAAUUCAUUGUUAUGGAUUCUAAAGUCUUUAAAAUGUUCCAGAAUUCUCUAAAAAUACAUGGGAAAGAGUACUUUGAAAAUUAUAAAUGUAUGCUAUUAUGAGAAUUCCUACCUUAGACUAUUAUACUUUCAAACAUAGAAUAUUAAGAAAAUAAAAUUUAAUUUUAGGAGUCCCCAUCAUGGCUCAGCAAGUUAAGAACCAAACUAGUAUCCACGAGGAUGUGGGUUUGAUCCCUGGCCUCCCUCAGUGGGUUAAGGACCUGGCAUUGCCGUGAAUGCAGUGUAGGUCUCAGACAUGACUUAGAUCAGGUGUGGCUGUGGCUGUGGUGUAGACCUGCAGCUGCAGCUCCAAUUUGACCCCUAGUUUGUGAACUUCCAUAUGCUCUAGGUUUGACCCUUAAAAAAAAUUAUGUGGCACUCAUAACAUGGGUCAAGCAGCAUUUCUGAGUGGCUCUCUCCAAAUAUGACUCAGGGAUUUAGAUUUUUUUUUUUUUUUUUUUUUUUUUUGCUGUGGUAUCCACAGUUCAGAGUUCCAGAAUUCAGAGUUUCUUGCUUCCAGGUACAUAAGGAGGUGGGGGAAGCACAGGAAAGAGUAAAGAAAAACUAGUGAACAGAGGUCAUGCACCUCAAAGAAGAUCAUAUUGGCCCUGACUUUGCCCAGAACUAGUCACAUGGACUGAACCAAAUGCAAGAGGGCUUAUAAUACGCUCAGAAGGCUAAUAGACACAGUUUGAUGAACAGACAGCAUUUUCUCUGCCUCAUAGAUUGAGUAAGGCUGACUAGAGCAGAGAAAAGCAAAAUUGAGUUAAGCACAAAAAACUUUGAUCAUAAUAGAAUUUUAAUGGGUGCCCAACAAUGCUUUCAUAGUUAAUUAGGCCUGUGCAAAGAAUAUAUGAUCAUAAUAUGACUUUUAGUUAGGUUAUUUUCCUUUUUGCAAUCUAUAGUAUGGUCCUUGGGAGAAUGUAAAUGAGGACUAUUGAUAAGGAAUACCGAAAAUCAGGGUUGGCUUUAUGGGCAUGUAACAUUGUGUUGUUACACAGGGCUCCGCUCUCACAAAAGCCCCACAUCCAGGUUAAUGCUCUGUUAUUGCUGUCUUAAAAUUCUUAAUAAUUUCAAACAAAGGGCCUGGUAUUUUCAUUUUGCACUGGGCUAUUAUUCUAAGCACUCUGGGCAUCUCCAGUUUUGUAGUUGGUCCUACCUGAAACUCAUGUCUUAUCAGAGACUAAAACUGGGCUCAAUGAUAAAAUGAAGAUACAAUCUUUAGGAUGCAAUCAAUGCUAAUUGACCUUUUAAAGAUGACAAGUUACAAUAGCAAAGAUGUGUGUGUGUUUGUAUGUGUGUGCGUGCGCAUGCGUGUGCACCCCUGCACACAUGAAUGUGUGCCCAAUGCAGGAUGUGGUUUUUUUAGGACAAAGUUUAUUGGGAGCAAUUUGUUUUAAUUGAUAUUCAUUGAGCAUCAUUCUGUUGUUUGUAGUUAGCUACUCAUGUGAAGAGUUGGUUGAUGUCUAUAACACAAACAUUUGUUUCAGAUAAAUGGGCGUUUCAGUUGGGUAGGUUUUAAUUAAGCAACGUUUGUUGUACAAGUAGUUGUUUUUGAAAUCAUGAAAAAACUACUAUAAUUUACUAAUUCUGUUAUCUAGAAUCUGAAAAGGUAGAAUAUUGUCUCCUAUAACCUUGAAUAUGAUUUUGAUGAUGAAUGACCCAAGUAUUUGGCAGCAAAAUAAGGACUACAAAACUUUUCCAAUGUAAUAUGUUAAAUUAUUUUUCUACUGCCUAUACCUAGGCACUGGUUGACUCUUCUCAAGCUCAUAGAACCCUUGAUUCUGAAAUGAAUGAUUUAAUUUUAAAUCCUGAUUCAUACUGCUUGCCUAUAUCGCUAUUCUAGCAUAUCAUAUUUCAUAAGGAUUUAUUUAUUUAUAGAUUUGCCAGAGGAGCACCCUGAACUCUUAACUCUUUGAGAAUAGGUGCUCUUGUCAUUCAUCUUGCUAUUCCCAGAGCUGAGUAGAGUUUCCAUACACCUUUAAUACAUUCAAUAAAUACUUAAUGAAGGAAUGAAGAAAUAAAUAUUGUGAUAAAAAUAUCAUUUUCCUUUCAGCAAAAUAAAUAUUUCCAAGUCUUAAAAGAAGCUUCUGGUUUUAAUAAAACCAAAAUCAAGAUGUUUUUGUUUUUCAAGAACAUUUUAUUUUGUUUUAUUAUGAUUUUUUUUUCCAUUAUAGCUGGUUUACAGUGUUCUGUCAAUUUUCCACUGCACAGCAUGGUGACCCAGUUACACAUACAUGUACACAUCCUAUUUUCUCACAUAAUCAUGCUCCAUCAUAAGUGACUAGACAGAGUUCCCAGUGCAACACAGCAGGAUCUCAUUGUUAAUCCAUUCCAAAGGCAAUAGUCUGCAUCUAUUAACCACAAGCACCCCAUCCAUCCCAUUCCCUCCCCUUCCAUCUUGCAACCACAAGUCUAUUCUCCAAGUCCAUGAUUUCUUUUCUGUGGAAAGGUUCACUUGUGCCAUAUAUUAUAUUCCAGAUACAAGUGAUAUCAUAUGGUAUUUGUCUUUCUCUUUCUGACUUACUUCACUCAGUAUGAGAGUCUCUAGUUCCAUCCACGUUGCUGCAAAUGGCAUUAUUUUCUUGUUAUGGCUGAGUAGUAUUCCAUUGUGCAUAUAUACCACAUCUUCCUAAUCCAAUCAACUGUUGACAGACAUUUAGAUUGUUUUCAUGUCUGGGCUAUUGUGAAUAGUGCUGCAUUGAACAUGUGGGUACAUGCGUCUUUUUCAAGGAAAUUUUUGUCUAGAUAUAUGCCCAAGAGUGGGAUUGCUGGGUCAUACGGUAGUUCUAUGUAUAAUUUUCUAAGGUACCUCCAUUCUGUUCUCUGUAGUGGUUGUACCAGCUCACAUUCCUACCAACACAUCUUAAGGGUAAAAAAUAGCAUAUACUUAACUGUCAUAUUCAGGAACUUAUUAUUUAUUGAAGGAGAUUUUUGUCCUGUUUAAAAAAAAUGGUUUGCUUGAACAUAUUCACAUAACAUAUGUCCAAGUAAAGAAGAAUAAUAUACAUAGUUUUCAAAGCAUAUGUAUGUUGAUGUACUUUUGUAUUAAACUUUCUGCUAAUAAUAUACUUGUUCCCAUGGUGUACUAGAUGAACAUGAAUAGGGGUCACUAUCCUUUUGUUUAAGGCUGAGCAUGGUUUAUUUACUAUAUUAGUUUCCUGUGGCUCUAACACAAACCCUGUGGCUUAAAAUAACAGAAAUUUAUUCUUGGAGUUCUGGAAAUCAGAGGUUCAGGACCAGUAUCACUGGGCCAAAAAAGCAUGUCUGCACAGUCACACUUCCUUUGAGGGACUAGAGGUAAAUCCAUUCCUUGACUCUUCCCGUUUCUUGUAGCUGCUAGCAUUCCUUAUCUUAAUGAAUACAUCAUUUCAGUUGUCAAAGCCAGCAUCUUCAAAUCUGUGUUCUGUUAUCACAUUGCCUUCUCUUCCUUCUGUGUCAGAUCUGCUCUUUCUUCUCUCUUAUAAGGACACUUGUGAUUGCAUUUAGAGACUACCCAUAUAAUCCACGGUAAACUCCCUAUCUUCAGAUCCUUAAUCACAUUUGCAAAGAUUCUGUUCCCAAAAAAGGUAACAUUUGUGAGUUUCCAUGGAUUAAGAACUUCUGUCUUUGGGGGCAAUAAAUCUUCUGAUAUAUUUGCCCUGUUCACUUUUGCAUUAGUGACUGUGUGGUGGGAUUCUAAGUGAUGUAUAACAGUGUGCUUUUCUCUAUGUUCACUGACACCGGAAUGAGGGUGCUGUAAAAUAAGUGAAUGCUGGAGAUCUAUAAACUAAAUAAGACUUUAAGAGAAAUGCCAUCUAAAGAAGAAGGCUUUGGCAAGUAGAGCUCAGAGAGGGAGCUCAUAACUUCAUGGUAAUACCUCACAUAAAUUAAAGUAAUGUUAAUUGUCUCCCCCAAAGCAAGGCCAUUAAGCAGCUUACUGCUCCUACUUUUAGGAUUUAUUUUGGUAGUUCUUGUGGUCCUACCUUUCCAAUGGUAUUUUACUUUUUACCCAGAAGGGAUAUAAACACCUCCUUGACAGUCCUUUCUGGUAUAUUUCAUCUCUAAGUAUAACAAGAGGAGGAAAUAAAUGACCAAAUAGGUACUGAUAAGCUCUGCAGAAAUCAAAGAUGAAAGUCUCUAGAAAGAUGUCAUCAUAUGGAGUUUCAUUUGAAACACAGUUCCUAAUAAGUGGAAAGAAAAAAUCUGAAUACAUUCCCUAGUUAUGAACAGCUAAACUGUCAGUGACCUUGUCACUAACCAGGGAGGAAUGUUAUAUUUCCUUUUUUUUUUCCACUGUGUUGAGGUAAGACCCUCUGAACCAUGAAAACAGAUGUCUCAUUUCUUUAAAAUAUUUAUACUCAUCUCCUACUAUGUGCCAAAUAUUAUGUGCAAAGCUCUGACUCAUACAAUUGCUUUCUUUCUUCCUGCCAAUGGCUUUCCAUGUAAUUUUUAAGUCCUCAAAAAUUUGCGAAGUUCUAUGGUUGGUCAUUUACAACUGAACCAAGGUCACGAAAAGACAGCUUAGUUGUGGGGGUGGUGAGAAAGGGGAAAAAAAAAAAAA